GUACUCACUUUGGCAGAACAUAUGCUAAAACUGGAAGAAUCAGAGAAAAUUAGCAUGCCCCCUUCACAAGGAUGACAUACAAUUUUGCAAAAAGAAAGAAAGAAAG